AAGCAUAAUGAGGACAUUUCAUAUGCAUCUCCUUAAAUCUCUCCCAACUUUUAUAAAUUGACUCUCCUUCAAAUAGUAAAAAAGAUGUGAUAUUAUUCCUAAGCUU